rnacentral:rRNA from 1 species
GACGAACGCUGGCGGCGUGCUUAACACAUGCAAGUCGAACGGUCUCCAUCCCGUGGCAACACGGGGGGAAGAGAUAGUGGCGAACGGGUGAGUAACACGUGAGAAACCUGUCCUGGUCUCUGGGAUAACAGUCGGAAACAACUGCUAAUACCGGAUGCCGUCGGAGCGUCGCAUGGCGCGCUGACGAAAGGGUUACUGGAUCAGGAGGGUCUCGCGGCCUAUCAGCUUGUUGGUGGGGUAACGGCCUACCAAGGCAUCGACGGGUAGCUGGUCUGAGAGGAUGAUCAGCCACACUGGGACUGAGACACGGCCCAGACUCCUACGGGAGGCAGCAGUGGGGAAUCUUGCGCAAUGGGCGAAAGCCUGACGCAGCAACGCCGCGUGCGGGAAGAA